CAGAGAAUAGUUUAAUUAAAAUAUUAAUUUUGGAGAUUAAUGAUAAAAGUGUAUUUUUUUCUCUGA
rnacentral:tRNA from 1 species